CUUUCUUCUUCCACAGGAAUAGACAUAAAGGUAAGAUUUUGUUACGUUUCUCAUUUUGAACAAAAUGUUUGAGUAUCUGGGUUUAUCCUUUGUCAGCAGACACUUUGUUUACUGAACCAUGUUUCCUGGAAUAUGAUGCUGAGCAGAGACUGGCCUAUGUGAUCAACUGAUGGACUCACAGAAAGAACAAUUUUAUAACCUGGGAAAGAAUGGGACUGAGCUGACCUCUCCGUAUGUCCUGGGGAGAUUUUAGAGGAUGCACAGAAACACAUGAUUGUCUGGAGUUAGCCCCAUCGCAGGCUGCUGAGAAAGACAGCUGCAGACUAUCUUGAGCUAAAAUCACAAUGUUAGCUCACCAAGUGUUCAGAGGAGAGGGGAGAAGAUGGCGCUGUAGGACCAACUCAGGAUUGCAGCUCCCAGUGAAAGCACAGAGGGUGAGUGGACACCGCAUUUUCAGGUAGAUUUUAUUGCCCACAGACCAGGAGAUUCCC
rnacentral:lncRNA from 13 species